AGCAGCCGCGGUAAUUCCAGCUCCAAUAGCGUAUAUUAAAGUUGUUGCAGUUAAAAAGCUCGUAGUUGAAUUUCGGGAUUGACGUGAUGGUCAUGCCUUAAGGGGUAUGAACUGUCACAGUUGAUUUCUCACCUUCUGGAGAAACUUGAUGUCCUUUAUUGGGUGUCUUGCGGAUCCAGGACCUUUACCUUGAAAAAAUUAGAGUGUUUAAAGCAGGCAUUUUUGCUCGAAUACAUUAGCAUGGAAUAAUAGAAUAGGACGGCAUGGUUCUAUUUUGUUGGUUUCUAGGAUCACCGUAAUGAUUAAUAGGGAUAGUUGGGGGCAUUAGUAUUCAAUUGUCAGAGGUGAAAUUCUUGGAUUUAUUGAAGACUAACUACUGCGAAAGCAUCUGCCAAGGAUGUUUUCAUUAAUCAAGAACGAAAGUUAGGGGAUCGAAGACGAUCAGAUACCGUCGUAGUCUUAACCAUAAACUAUGCCGACUAGGAAUCAGACGAUGUUAAUUUUUUAAUGACUCGUUUGGCACCUUACG
rnacentral:rRNA from 1 species